CAACCCAAUUCAAUGAAAUCACACCCUUUAAAUAAUGUUUUGUUUAUUUCUGCUCCUGCUGACUACAGACAGUUGGUGACUGUUUUUCCUUGACUGAAACGGAAAGGCUGAAGCUGAUGAACUGAACAUUUCCCAGGCUGCAAUUCAGUUUUUGAUGUCUGCAGGCCAAAAACAUGCCUUUUCCUCUGAAAUCCAGACUGAGCCUAUACUAGUCCAUUUUGACCUUUAGAUUCCUUAUCAGUCACCUUUGGUCUCUGACAGUGGUUGGACAGGCCAAUCAACAGAGGUCCACUCUCCAUGAACAAAGGCUGGUUAUGUAAAAGAGGUGAGCUGUGGGCAGAGAUACGAUCUGAAGAGAAGGUGCUGAACUCAUCCUCUGUGUUCCAGCAGCAUGUCCAGGACUGCUGUCACUACAAAAAGUGAAACUUCACCCAAAAACAUUUUCUCUGCUGGUGAUUUAAACCCACACCUUCAUUAAGGAAGCAGCUGGAUUUCAGAGAGAGGCAGGCAACCACCAAUACUGAAACCAGCAUGCAACUGUGCACUGAGUUCAACGUGGGACCGGCACCCAUGGACCCUGAGAUCAUGACCUGAGCUGAAGCCGGAUGCUUCAUUGACUGAAACACCCAGGCGCCCCAUCAAGGAGUGCUAUGAAAAUGAAUUGCCUAAACUGCUGGUGGCAGUGAGACUGGUAUAUUUCUGGAGCUCCACCAUGAAUCAACACAAAGAAAAAACCUGAAACUCAAAUGAGCUUAAUUUGAUUUGGUAGGAGAGCAAACCAUCAAUUAAAAUAAUAAAUUAUGUGUAACAUUAUAAAUCACAUGCUAUUUUAGGACUUUUAAUAAGAGAUAGUGGAAAGUUUCUGUUGUUGGACAUUAAAAAAAGUUUUUCAGGGUUGACCUGGGAGGGAGAAAGAAACAUUCCCUAAGUAUCCAAAAGUCUGGAAAAACCUCAGUAGCUGACUCUCCUGAAGCCACUCCGGAGUGAGUGCUAACACUCUACGAAGACCAAACUGCUGCUACACAAAGUAACCCUCGCCUUAACUGUGAGGCGAGAUUAACCACAAGCUUCGGCACACAGUUCUCAGAAAUAGCUCAACCACAAUGGAAGGGAAGGACGACAACUCCAGAGACUUCAAAAAAACAGCGACGAUUUAAGAUGCGUUGAAUCUUGUACUUUCGUGAAUGAAGGUGUGCAUGCAGGCUUGGAUUUUGAGUACGUACUGGUACAAGGGGGAGAUUAAAGGAAAAACAGCCAAAUUACCGAAAUCCAAUUUUCUUAAAUAAUUCCAGACUACAUACAGCCAGCGGGAGCGAAGAAUGGACAGCCUUCUUUUGUGUGAACGGCUUUCGAAAAGAAACCUAUAGUCACACGCAAAUUUAUUUGAAACAGCAACCCCAAAACAACAAACACGGGAGCUUGAUCUCCAGCAGGACCCGCGAGGGAGUCCAAGCGUUUCCGGGCGACGGUUCAGAAGCUACAGACCGCCCUUCACCCAGAGCCUCCCGGCUCGGCUGUCACUCGGUCACCAUAGACAGCUUCCAAGGGAGGACUGCACUUUCAGCUUCCCUCAAAGUUUACCAGAAAUUCUCGCAAAGGGUUCUUUAAUCCGCCCAACCCCCAGGGACACUUUCUGUCUCCAAGAACUGCUCCACAGCUUCACCCCACUAUAUCCCCGGUCACUUCGAGACCUCCAAGCACGCAGGGCGCGAUUUCGCCCUCGCUUGCUUGCUUGCUCCCCAGGAUGCUGGGGAAAGCGGCUCCGGAAAAGCAAACUUUCCGAGCUUUCGCGGAGGGCGGGAGGGCGCGCCGCGAACUCACAGCUGGUU